AGCAGCCGCGGUAAUUCCAGCUCCAAUAGCGUAUAUUAAAGUUGUUGCAGUUAAAAAGCUCGUAGUUGAAUUUCGGGAUCAAUAUGUCGGUCGUGCCUCGGUACGUACUGGCGUCAUUGGUUUCUCCCUUCUGAAGAACCUCGAUGUCAUUAAUUUGGUGUCUUGGGGAAUCAGGACUGUUACUUUGAAAAAAUUAGAGUGUUUAAAGCAGGCUCGCGCUUGAAUACAUUAGCAUGGAAUAAUGAAAUAGGACGUUUGAUUCUAUUUUGUUGGUUUCUAGGAUCGACGUAAUGAUUAAUAGGGAUAGUUGGGGGCAUUAGUAUUCAAUUGUCAGAGGUGAAAUUCUUGGAUUUAUUGAAGACUAACUACUGCGAAAGCAUUUGCCAAGGAUGUUUUCAUUAAUCAAGAACGAAAGUUAGGGGAUCGAAGACGGUCAGAUACCGUCGUAGUCUUAACCAUAAACUAUGCCGACUAGGGAUCGGAUGAUGUUGAUUUUUUAAUGACUCAUUCGGCGUACCCG
rnacentral:rRNA from 1 species